rnacentral:rRNA from 1 species
GACGUAGGGUGCGAGCGUUAAUCGGAAUUACUGGGCGUAAAGGGUGCGCAGGCGGCGUCGCAAGUCAGGCGUGAAAUCCCCGGGCUUAACCUGGGAACUGCACUUGAAACUACGAUGCUGGAGUAUGGCAGAGGGAGGUGGAAUUCCACGUGUAGCGGUGAAAUGCGUAGAGAUGUGGAGGAACACCGAUGGCGAAGGCAGCCUCCUGGGCCAAUACUGACGCUCAGACACGACAGCAUGGGGAGCGAACGGG